GUCGGGAGUUAGGAAAUGUAGACUCGCUAAUAUCGGGUCUAUUUGACAAAGGCUCCAAAGGAAGCCACGGCUAACUCUGUGCCAGCAGCCGCGGUAAUACAGAGGUGGCAAGCGUUGUUCGGAAUUAUUGGGCGUAAAGAGCACGUAGGUGGAUUUGUAAGUCAGACGUGAAAGCCUUCUGUUCAACGGAAGAAUUGCAUCUGAAACUACAAACCUUGAGUGUAGGAGGGGAGAGUGGAACUUCUGGU
rnacentral:rRNA from 1 species